UCAGACUGGGCCUUAACUUUCCUGACCUGAUCCCUAGCUUCCCGGACAGGUGCCAUAUUCCUGUGUUAGCCUGCAUGACACAGCAGAGUCUAUGCUGAUGCACAUCCCUAAUUCCCAGAAUGGAAUUUUUCCACUUUUGCUCUUGAUUCAACAUGGCACUCCUUACAAUGUGAAACUGAAACUUACCAUAUCUUUCUAGAUGAUCUUGAGGUCCUUUCCAACCCUAACUAUUCUAUGAUUCUCCUGUACAUAAACCAUAAACUUCUUCUCUUAAACAGAUUAAUCUCAUUAGAUACUGAGGUAUCUAAUUACAUGGUCUAACAGAUCUAUAUGACUUGACUGUAUAAAGAAAUAGAAAUAGUAUAAAACUAUGGAGAUGACCAAAAAUUUGCAUGUCUUGACACAACUUUUUCUCUGUUUCCACACUAAUAAAUCUUCUUUUAGGAAGCAAUAGAUCUAUUUUUCCCUGAGUCGAACUUAAUGGAAAUGAAGCCAAAGCAAGAAAUGUAAAGCAUUUUGCAAAUCCACUUCCUUCAGCAACAGAAGUCUAAAGGAUAGAGACUAAUGACAGAGCUUUGUCCCAGUUUGACAAAUACUUUUACUGACUGCAACAGCAAAAAAGAAAGAGAAAUCCAUCCUGUGCAUACUCCCACCCAUGGACUCCAGAUACUGUUGCAAGAGCUCAGCAAUUCAGCAAGUUACACAGAGCUGUCAGAAGAUGUAGCAUGUAUCAUCAGAAAGUUUGGUUUGAGUAAUUACCUAGCAUCAAGUUUUGUGGUGGAGGAAAGGAUGCACUCCAACGCCUAG
rnacentral:lncRNA from 14 species